UACGAAGGGGGCUAGCGUUGCUCGGAAUCACUGGGCGUAAAGCGCACGUAGGCGGAUCUUUAAGUCAGGGGUGAAAUCCUGGAGCUCAACUCCAGAACUGCCUCUGAUACUGGGGAUCUUGAGUCCGGAAGAGGUAAGUGGAACUGCGAGUGUAGAGGUGAAAUUCGUAGAUAUUCGCAAGAACACCAGUGGCGAAGGCGGCUCACUGGCCCGGUACUGACGCUGAGGUGCGAAAGCGUGGGGAGCAAACAGG
rnacentral:rRNA from 1 species